AGCUCCAGUAGCGUAUAUUAAAGUUGUUGCAGUUAAAAAGCUCGUAGUCGAACUUCGGGCCUGGCGGGAUGGUCUGCCUUACGGUAUGUACUGUCUGGCCGGGUCUUACCUCUUGGUGAGGCCGUAUGCCCUUCAUUGGGUGUGCGGUGGAACCAGGAAUUUUACCUUGAGAAAAUUAGAGUGUUCAAAGCAGGCAAUUGCCCGAAUACAUUAGCAUGGAAUAAUAGAAUAGGACGUGCGGUUCUAUUUUGUUGGUUUCUAGGAUCGCCGUAAUGAUUAAUAGGAACGGUCGGGGGCAUUAGUAUUCCGUUGCUAGAGGUGAAAUUCUUAGAUUUACGGAAGACUAACAACUGCGAAAGCAUUUGCCAAGGACGUUUUCA
rnacentral:rRNA from 1 species